rnacentral:rRNA from 1 species
AGGAUUAACGCUGGCGGCGUGCCUAACACAUGCAAGUCGAACGAGGUAGCAAUACCUAGUGGCAGACGGGUGAGUAACGCGUGGUCAACCUGCCCUUGAGCGGGGGAUAACUAGCCGAAAGGUUAGCUAAUACCGCAUACGUCUAGGAUGGCAUCAUCCAAAGAUAAAAGCCGCAAGGCACUCGAGGAGGGGACCGCGUCCCAUUAGUUAGUUGGUGGGGUAACGGCCUACCAAGACUCCGAUGGGUAGCUGGUUUGAGAGAGCGACCAGCCACACUGGGACUGAGAAACGGCCCAGACUCCUACGGGAGGCAGCAGUGAGGAAUUUUCCGCAAUGGGCGAAAGCCUGACGGAGCGACGCCGCGUGUGGGAAGAAGGCCUUCGGGUCGUAAACCACUGUCGAAGGGGCGAUAUUGACGGUACCCUUGGAGGAAGCCCCGGCUAACUACGCGCCAGCAGCCGC